CAGACAGAAGAUCAGACACGUAACAGAUAGAAGAUCAGAUCGGUAACAGAUAGAAGAUCAGACAGAAGAUCAGACACGUAACAGAUAGAAGAUCAGACACGUAACAGAUAUAAGAUCAGACACGUAACAGAUAUAAGAUCAGACACGUAACAGAUAUAAGAACAGACCAGUUACAGACAGAAGAUCAGAUCAGUGACAGACAGACGAUCAGAUCAGUGACAG
ensembl:lncRNA